rnacentral:rRNA from 1 species
UACGUAGGCAGCAAACGUUGUUCGGAGUUACUGGGCGUAAAGAGUACGUAGGCGGUUUGCCAAGUUUGGUGUGAAAUCUCCUGGCUUAACUGGGAGGGUGCGCCGAAUACUGGCGGGCUUGAGUAUUGGAGAGGAAAGCGGAAUUCCUGGUGUAGCGGUGAAAUGCGCAGAUAUCAGGAGGAACACCGGUGGCGAAGGCGGUUCUCUGGGCAUUACCUGACGCUGAGGAGCGAAAGUGUGGGGAGCGAACAGG